rnacentral:rRNA from 1 species
GAUGAACGCUGGCGGCGUGCCUAACACAUGCAAGUCGAACGGUAACAGGUUAAGCUGACGAGUGGCGAACGGGUGAGUAAUGCAUCGGAACGUGCCCGGUCGUGGGGGAUAACGCAGCGAAAGCUGCGCUAAUACCGCAUACGAUCUGAGGAUGAAAGCGGGGGACCGUAAGGCCUCGCGCGAUCGGAGCGGCCGAUGUCAGAUUAGGUAGUUGGUGGGGUAAAGGCUCACCAAGCCAACGAUCUGUAGCUGGUCUGAGAGGACGACCAGCCACACUGGGACUGAGACACGGCCCAGACUCCUACGGGAGGCAGCAGUGGGGAAUUUUGGACAAUGGGCGAAAGCCUGAUCCAGCAAUGCCGCGUGCAGGAAGAAGGCCUUCGGGUUGUAAACUGCUUUUGUACGGAGCGAAAAGGUUCUCUCUAAUACAGAGGGCUCAUGACGGUACCGUAAGAAUAAGCACCGGCUAACUACGUGCCAGCCGCCGCCGUAAUAC